rnacentral:rRNA from 1 species
ACUGAACGCUGGCGGCAGGCCUAACACAUGCAAGUCGAACGAGUGGCGGACGGGUGAGUAAUGUCUGGUAAACUGCCUGAUGGAGGGGGCUAACUACUGAAAACGGUAGCUAAUACCGCAUACCAACAUAUGUGCCCAGAUGGGAUUGGCUUGUAGGUGGGGUAAAGGCUCACCACGGCGACGAGCCCUAGCUGGUCUGUGAGGAUGACCAGCCAAACGGGAAGUGAGAUACGGUCCGGGCUCCUACGAGAGGCAGACGUGGGGAAUCUUCCACAAUGGGCGCAAGCCCGAUGCAGCCAUGCCGGGUGAAUAAAGAAGGCCUUCGGGUUGUAAAGUUCUUUCAGCCGGGAAGCGUUACCCGCGGAAUAAGCACCGGCUAACUCCGUGCCAGCAGCCGCGGUAAUAC